CUCUACCCAUCAGCCGAAAGUCCUACUUGUUUUCUCACCAUCUAGCACCUCUGCUCGAGAUUACCCCCCACCUCAGAUUGUAGGCUUCAGUUUCAACUGGCUCAGCUCCUGUUUGCCUUUCUAUGAUAUGAAACUAUUUCCAUGAGGCAAUGAGGAAACAGGCGGAAAUCCACGUGACAGAAAGCCGGUGUUAUAACACACGGAACAUAAAAAACACUUACUUCAUUCCCUGACCAUCUCUUAUCACCACUGUCCACACUAUUGAAGCCUGAAUCAAGGGCUCCAUAAGGGCGACUUGAGUACAGUUCUUCAUGGCUGCC